GACGAACGCUGGCGGCGAGCUUAACACAUGCAAGUCGAACGGAAAGGCCCUGCUUUUGUGGGGUGCUCGAGUGGCGAACGGGUGAGUAACACGUGAGUAACCUGCCCUUGACUUUGGGAUAACUUCAGGAAACUGGGGCUAAUACCGGAUAGGAGCUCCUGCUGCAUGGUGGGGGUUGGAAAGUUUCGGCGGUUGGGGAUGGACUCGCGGCUUAUCAGCUUGUUGGUGGGGUAGUGGCUUACCAAGGCUUUGACGGGUAGCCGGCCUGAGAGGGUGACCGGCCACAUUGGGACUGAGAUACGGCCCAGACUCCUACGGGAGGCAGCAGUGGGGAAUAUUGCACAAUGGGCGGAAGCCUGAUGCAGCAACGCCGCGUGCGGGAUGACGGCCUUCGGGUUGUAAACCGCUUUCGCCUGUGACGAAGCGUGAGUGACGGUAAUGGGUAAAGAAGCACCGGCUAACUACGUGCCAGCAGCCGCGGUGAUACGUAGGGUGCGAGCGUUGUCCGGAUUUAUUGGGCGUAAAGGGCUCGUAGGUGGUUGAUCGCGUCGGAAGUGUAAUCUUGGGGCUUAACCCUGAGCGUGCUUUCGAUACGGGUUGACUUGAGGAAGGUAGGGGAGAAUGGAAUUCCUGGUGGAGCGGUGGAAUGCGCAGAUAUCAGGAGGAACACCAGUGGCGAAGGCGGUUCUCUGGGCCUUUCCUGACGCUGAGGAGCGAUAGCGUGGGGAGCGAACAGGCUUAGAUACCCUGGUAGUCCACGCUGUAAACGGUGGGUACUAGGUGUGGGGUCCAUUCCACGGGUUCCGUGCCGUAGCUAACGCUUUAAGUACCCCGCCUGGGGAGUACGGCCGCAAGGCUAAAACUCAAAGGAAUUGACGGGGCCCCGCACAAGCGGCGGAGCAUGCGGAUUAAUUCGAUGCAACGCGUAGAACCUUACCUGGGUUUGACAUGGAUCGGGAGUGCUCAGAGAUGGGUGUGCCUCUUUUGGGGUCGGUUCACAGGUGGUGCAUGGCUGUCGUCAGCUCGUGUCGUGAGAUGUUGGGUUAAGUCCCGCAACGAGCGCAACCCUUGUUCACUGUUGCCAGCACGUUAUGGUGGGGACUCAGUGGAGACCGCCGGGGUCAACUCGGAGGAAGGUGGGGAUGACGUCAAGUCAUCAUGCCCCUUAUGUCCAGGGCUUCACGCAUGCUACAAUGGCUGGUACAGAGAGUGGCGAGCCUGUGAGGGUGAGCGAAUCUCGGAAAGCCGGUCUCAGUUCGGAUUGGGGUCUGCAACUCGACCUCAUGAAGUCGGAGUCGCUAGUAAUCGCAGAUCAGCAACGCUGCGGUGAAUACGUUCCCGGG
rnacentral:rRNA from 1 species